GAAAAAGCUUGGAUAGAGCUAAGUAGAUAAUUGUAAAUCGAUUAAGGGAAGAAGCAUCUUGGACUGGAAGUGCUUCUAUCGUGGCAGUUAUUGAAUAUUCACUCUGGAGCUGAUCACAUCUGUGAUCCGGAUUUAUUUCCGUUAUUGAACUGAAGUGGGCAUACGAAGGUAUGUCAACAAGGGUGGUACCGCGAAACGACCAGACUAGUCUCGUCCCUUUU
rnacentral:ncRNA from 1 species